ACCAGGGGUUAGCUCAGUUGGUAGAGCGCUCACUGGAGAUGGAAAGGUCCCGGGUUCGAUACCCGACCAGGCA
rnacentral:tRNA from 1 species